rnacentral:rRNA from 1 species
GAUGAACGCUGGCGGCGUGCCUAAUACAUGCAAGUCGACCGAACAGACGAGGAGCUUGCUCCUCUGACGUUAGCGGCGGACGGGUGAGUAACACGUGGAUAACCUACCUAUAAGACUGGGAUAACUUCGGGAAACCGGAGCUAAUACCGGAUAAUAUAUUGAACCGCAUGGUUCAAUAGUGAAAGACGGUUUUGCUGUCACUUAUAGAUGGAUCCGCGCCGCAUUAGCUAGUUGGUAAGGUAACGGCUUACCAAGGCAACGAUGCGUAGCCGACCUGAGAGGGUGAUCGGCCACACUGGAACUGAGACACGGUCCAGACUCCUACGGGAGGCAGCAGUAGGGUAUCUUCCGCAAUGGGCGAAAGCCUGACGGAGCAACGCCGCGUGAGUGAUGAAGGUCUUCGGAUCGUAAAACUCUGUUAUUAGGGAAGAACAAAUGUGUAAGUAACUAUGCACGUCUUGACGGUACCUAAUCAGAAAGCCACGGCUAACUACGUG